CGGCGCCUACCAACUGCGGGUGCUGGGGGGGGGGACGGGACGUAGGUGUUGUCUAAAAACUGUUUGUUUUUUUUUCACUCGACACAGAGUCGAGAGAUUUGUUUAUCCCAUGUCUGCGCAGCGCCGGGUGGUGAUGUCACACGAGUAACGUUCAUACAUUCAGAACCCGCCUGGACGCCUCCCCGUGUAACCUCAUCUAGGCGUUCCUGCUCCGGCAGGGGGAUUGGACUAGAUGAUCGUUCGAGGUCCCUUCCAAUCCCUAACAUUCUGUGAGCUCGGGCCACCGUUACCGGCACUUUAACAAUGACGCUUUGCCGCCCUCAUUCCCAUUGGCUCUUGCGACGCACCCCCCCCCCCCCCUUAAAGUGACAGCGCCCUUGCUUUUCCCUGCGCAUGCGCCGUGAGAGAGGCGCAUUCCGUGCGGAGGAAGGGGCCGCUCCCGCUCGAGGGCGCGUUUUUUACGAGGAUUUUCGCCGUAAUUGGGGCAGUUCACGCCUAGUUCAAGUGAUUCCCUUUUCCCCUUCACACUUCUUGUGGUGUUUCCUCUCGGCCUUGUCCUGUUCCUCCUGCCAGGGCAACCUCGACUGUUUUACAAAGGUAAGCUCCAUGUCCAUCUCACACGUCCAGUGUUGUCACACAGCUAAUAAAGAUCCCUGUUGCUUUCUGUGGCCAAGAUGUCCAGUAACUCACUUUCCUGUUUGUGCACAGAACCCAGAUUUCCUUUCUAUCCCCUUGAUAUCCUCAGCAAAAAGGAAUGUCAUUGAUUCAUGCCCAGAGGCUUCCAGUUUGGUGAGAGGGGCUCGUGUGUUGGCAAGGAGAGAAGCUGAUGGCUAUUACUACCUGGGCCACAUUGCCCAAGAGGUGAAGGGCUCCAGGGAACGCUUUUUAAUUGAGUUUGACAAAAUUCACGCUCUGAAAGGCAAGAUACAGCUUCGCAUGCAGGAAACCCCUCUCUACGACAUUCUCCACUACGAAGAUGCCAGGCGACAGCCUCUUGCUCCAGGAGACAGGGUCUUGGCACCAUGGGAGGCCAGAGCUGAACGUUUUGGCCCAGGCACUGUGCUAAAGGUUACAGAGAACAAGGAGGCACAUUUAGUACACAACAGAGGGGGAGUGCUUGUGAAUUUCUGGAAUGGGCAGACUAAAGAGGUGUCUUCUGACCAAGCUGUGUGGAUUCCUCUGCCCAUAUGCGAACGCAUCAUCCUAGAACUGCAGAUGCCUUUAGCAGCCAGGCAGAUGGUGAUAGAUUCAAGCUUGGAUUACCCAUACAUUGUCACACCAGGUUAUAGAGCCUCAGGCCAUUACAGACAAGGUCACUCAGACCUGGACUGCUGGCCAAGGGGUCUGUGUUCGACUCAGCCAUGUGCUAAGUGCAGCUGUAGCUGUACUUCGCAUCCCCACUGCUGCCUUGCAGCCUGGGAACCCACACAGCCUCCAGGGUUCAAAGUGCAGCAGGAAGAUGCCUUUGUCUCAGGAACAAGCUUAACUGAAGAAGAGCUCAGCAAGAAAAUAGAAGAGGAACUGUCUGAAGUGAGGAUUUAAUCUUCAGAAAGUGUUUCUAGAGAGGAAGAGAAAAAGGAAGAUGAGAGAUUGAAGACAGAAAAUGUUCCAAAAGAUGUUCAGUCUUGUUUGGAAAAGGAAAAUGAGGUUAUAGAACCUAAGAAGGUAAAAAGUGCUUCACCCUGGCUUUUCUGUUAACAUGUGUUCUACUGUUUGUAUAGUGCCUGCUUUGUUACCCCAAGUUUUCUGCUCUUGGUACCAAAAAAUUACUGGAGGUUUUAGGCCUGACCCUUAUAUAUACCUGCUAAAGAACUGAGAGACUUUGCUUUGUACUGUCUUCCUGAUCCUUUGACUGGCGAAAGAGCUAGAAACUCUUAUUGUUACUGGUUGGAGCAGACUCCUAGAAUCUCUUCCAUGGAUGCAGAACAUGAAGUGUUGCAUAGCUCAGUUCCUCUACAUCCUGCCUCUGCAUGAAAGAGGUAAAGGCAGCAAAAAGUGUCUGACAGAAGACUUUACACCAGAUAAGGGUUACAGUAAGGAUUGCUCCAUACCAAGGCAGUCCCUGGCAUAAUUCUGUUAACAUAUUUCUCCACCCUGUUAGAUGCAUCACCUCUCCCAGUCAAAGACCAAAAGAGGCUUUUGUGAUCCUUGGUGGUUGAUUUGGUGCUUGUGAACAGGGCACUGGAUGAGGAUCAGUAAGGAGGAGGGUAAUGCGCACCAGCUACUGCCAAACUUUUCUCCAUUGCUCUGCAAGGGUUAGAAUCCUCAUUUCUGCCACAUGCCAGAAAAGUUACUAUCUUUCAGCCAGAGUUCUCUGGCCUGAUCUCUUUUGUACCAGUUUGGACCCUUCCAGGCAAAUGUACUGCCAGUUUUAGUUCAUUUGAAGAUGCAGAGAAACCCACAAAGUGAUCAAAAAUCAUUUUACUUAAGAGUUGUUUCUUUAGUAAAGAACUCCCCCGGAUUUUUUUUAUUCUUUCUUAAAGUUCAGUUGCAGUUUAAAGUCUUAUGCUGUAAAUUCAUGAAACUAACCUAUUCUUAUCAGCUCUGGAUUAAGAUUGCAUUUGUUAUUAUUUCUAGAGUCCUCAGAGGCAGAUGGCUCAUGCUAUGGUUGAUACUGCUGUCAACACAGACAGCUGGUUAAUGGAGGCAGCUCACAAGGAAGAAGCAGACAGAAGACAGCAGGGUGCUGAAACUGAGGCCAAUGUUAAACACAAACAUGGUAUUGAAAUUGUAGCUGGUUUAUCCAAAUGUAAGACUUGCCACACAAUAUCAGUGCAGCAGGCCAUCAUAUCCAAGAUCUGUUGCCAUGGUUCUUGAUGUUUCAAAAGAAAAUGCCGUAAUGCUGCCACCAUAAUGUAGCCACCAUAAUGUGGUAUCAUGUGGGUAUUAAUGGUAGUUGUUCAUCUUCUGAGUACUUUCAGAUGGAAGUUGGGGGUUCUUGGCUUUUACAGGUACUGCAGUAGCAGCUUUUGGGUUUUCUUAUCCUUUAUCAUAAUGCCCACUAUAAAUAUAAAGUCUUAAAAAAUUUCCUUACUUUAAACAUUAAUGCGUAACAUUAACUAUGGCUGCCUAUAGCAAAAAGGUUUCACCAGGACUGUUCUGCAGAACAUUCCUCUGGGCUGAAAAUGAUUGCUUUAUAAUGUCAUUGAGUAAAUUUUUGUUCCCUUAUCAUCCAAAAGGGACUGGAUCAUGAUUUUAAUCAAAUAGUUGCUGUUCUCAUUUAAACUAGUUUGAUGAAAAUUACAGGCAUUUAAAUGAGGACUCUGAAAGCCUAAAGCUUUUUCCAAGUGUUAUUGCUUUGCUCUGUGUCACUGCUGGCAGAGGGAGAAUUAAAAGUCAAACUGGCAUGCACAUUUUCUCCCAGCUGGUGUUCCCGCAUCAUUCCAUACAACAAUUGCCUCUUAGGUCCAUGCUAUCUUUAGCAGAAAGGUGCAAGCAAACUACCUAUGUUCUCAGUUACGUGAAAACUGUGUUAGCACAGUGUUGUGCUCAAGCUAAUUUAUCUUGUCUCUCAGCAGGAUGUGCAGCUCAGGCUUUGCCUUGUCAAGAAGUUUAUAAUUUUUUAUUGUCUUGGAGUAUUGGCAGAAGAAGCUCAUGUCUGUCUGUGAAAUACCAUGUAAACAACCCCUUAGCCUGAGUAGCUGCAAGUACCAUCAGUGAUCUUGUAUUACCAGGCAAAACUCUGGCUUGACUGCAAUGACAAGCUUGUGUUUUGAAAGCUGAGACUUGUUUUGUGGAAACUAAAAAAUGUCCCAUUUCUUCAGAGGAAAAUGUUGGUACUAAGUUAUGAAAGUCUUGCUUGAGUUUAUUUCAUAUGAGAAGACUUUGGUUUUAAUUUGCUUUCUUUUUGUAAGCUGACUAUAACCUCUUAUGUCCCUGCCCUAAUUCAUUUGAAAGGUGUUUUUGAAUCCAGAGUGGCAGAAGCUCCAAUCCAGUAUUCCCAGAGGAGCCCUUCCCUGGGAACCAAAGCUUUGGUUCCUUUCAGGCGCCAAAGCUUCUUUGACCGAGUGAAUGAAUCACUAGAGAAAGACAGCCUGACCAUAAAAUCAGCUCUGCAUGUACAGAGACCACACAGAACCUCCAGUGUGCAGGCCAGGAGAUCCACAAAUCUUCUACAUCUUCUAAAAGACAAAAGCAUUACAAAAUCGAUCCUUCAUGGUGCAUCUCAGGAUAGAUGGAAAGAGAUGGACUUCAACAGAGCCAAGAUUGAGCACAAAAGGUGGCAAGAGGAACAGAGGCAGCUGAAGAGGGAGCAGCAGCAAGAGGCAGAUGGCAUCCGAAGCCAGCUGCGCAGGGACAACCAGAGGCAGCGAUUGCAUCAGAGAACAUUGCAAGGGCUGGAGAAACAGCUUGAGCACACAGACAGAGCUUUGCAGCACCUGGCACUGCUCCAGGCUGCUGGGACAGAGAGGAGCAGGAAGGAAUCCUUCUUGCAAGAGGAGGAGAAGAGAAAAGCAAGUCAGAGGCUGCAGUUCUUAAAGGCACAGAGUUUGCAAAAGGAGGAGUUGCAAGCACAACGCAAUGAAAGGAGCUUUGAACAAGAGAAAGAAAGGCUGGAUUUUCUCAGGAGCAGAAUGCAGUCACGGCAGGAAGUGUUGAAACAAGAAUCACAGGAGAUGGACAGGCAACAAAAACAGCACCAGGCUGCCAAAGAAAGAAAGUUCCAGAGCAGAGACCGUUCACGCCAGAAGGUGGAAAAAGAAGGCCAAAAACUCUGUGACCUCCAGCAGUAUCUCAGAGAACAGAAUCUUUUGAUGCUCAGGGCAUCGGUGCUGGCAUAAGGAAGCUGCAGAGUGGGUAAGCAGCCCCUUGAGCAGUUUCACAGACCUGCUCUGGGUCUUGUAGGUGUGAGUCAGCAUGCUGGAGCUUGGGUGCUUGAGUGCAGUUGUGACAAGUGAAAUUAUGAUUUUGGAGAAUUCUUUAAUCCCCCUUUCAUUGCAGGCAGUGUGCAUUUUCACUGCUUCAUCCUUACAUGCCUUUGUUUCUGGAGCUGCUAUAAUAGUCCAGCUAUGUCAAGUGAAAUGGUGGAAGCACAGGCACAGGCAAAUCAAAUACAGGCCUGAAAAGGCUUCCACAGCUGAAUUCUGGGAACUUCCUGUGUUUCUUGCAGAGCAGUGCCAGAAAAUAAUUUCUUCAAGGUCAAGGAAGUGCAGUUGUGUGAUGCUGUCACAUGAUUUACCUUGCUAUGUUAACCUUACAUGAAAUAUGGGAAAGGAGAGCUGAAUAACAGCUGGAUGUUAAAAACCAAACAAACAAACUGCAGCAAUGAUAAUGUAUGUGCUAAAAUACAAUGUAAAUUAUCUUCUGCGAUUUCCACUAUUAACCACUGACUCUUGCAAGUGUCCCGUGGCACGCUGAGUUGCAGAGAUCCAUGACACGAUUGUGGUACUUCCUGCCAAAACUGCUGUAGGGGCAGAGCAGGGAUCCAGUGACAUGAGAGGUGCUUCAGAAAACCUGAGAAGACAGCAUGGAACCCUCCAGCCUGGGCUUCAGGUUAAGUGCGGAUCUUCUGCUGUCAAGGCAUAUGUACUGUAUGUAAUAUGUAAAUGUUUGUUCUGUGAAAUACCUGUAUUUGGAGAGCCACCAAACCCAGUGGUGGACUUGGGGGGUCUGUUUUGCUUACAGGCUUUGAGGUUGGCAGUCUCCAAAAGCAGGUAACCUUAUGUCAGCAAGAUAGAUACCCCAAUGUCUUUGCAGGUAAGGUUCCUGGUCAGGCUAAACAUACUUUUUGUUCACCAUGAAUAAAGGAUGACAAUGCUCAAAGACAAAUGAAUUGGUAACUUGACAGUUAAAUUGUUCAAGAAACCAAGGUAGCCAGUAGUACUGUAAGAGGAGAAAAGUUCACCAUGCAGGCUGUAGAGUAAAACAUAGUAACCACCUGGAGUCCUCCAUGCAACUUGAUCAUGACUCCUCUGAUUUUAUAAGUGCAUUACUGAUUUUCCUUAAUGAAGCCUGUGGUGUCAGCCACUCCUGUGGACAAGCUACAGGCUUCUCCCCUCUGCUGAAAGAAGACAGUAAGGCACAUCAACAGACAGUUUUUUCCAACAGGAGAGGUUUGGUGGUUGUGGUUUUUUUUAUGAACUAUACUCUGACAAGUGGAGGUGCCUUCUUUCACAAGGGAGAGGAAAGGGUUACACUUGUCGGAUCUUGAAGUGCUGCCCCUCUUCCUCGUACCAUCAGAGGUACAAAAUACAGUAGCUUUGGGUAGCCAGAAAUUUAAUUGUUCUUUUCACAGCGGUAUUUAAAGAGAAUGGACAUGGCACAAUUUUUGCUGGAACACUCAGAGCUAUAAUAUAUUGCAGGGUGUUCUUAUUUUACAAAUUUUAUCCUAAAAUAUAUAUAUAAUAUUUGAGAUACCUUCUUUUAAGCAAUACCUAAAAUGAAACUAGAUACAAAACUUAAAUGUUGUUGCCUGACAUUCUGUGUACACUUAGAAACAUGUUACACAUUUUCUGGCACACCACUGAGCAAAAAGCAGAAGUUGUGUAAAAAUUCACCCCUUUUACAGGAACAUAGCACCAGUGACAGCAGCAUUUAAAAAAAAUAAUAAAAUAAACUUCUAAAAGUGAGAGCAUUUGAAAUUCUGCCAAAUCUUCUCAGUGGCCAGCAGUUUCUUAGCAUUAAGUCUCAGCCUGUGUUCCUCCAGAGAGAACUGAGAGGCCAUACCUUCAGCUUUCCUCAGAAAGACAGUUAAGUCUCUCAUUCAGGUAUUUACAAACUAUUCUAAGGCCUUGAUAGCUAAAAAGAGUAUUUUUAACUUUAAGAUCCAUAAUAUGCAUGAGCUAUCCUGAGACUUCUGUUAAAAAAAAAAAAAAAAAACAGGGGAAAAGGAAAGAAAGAUGAACCUGUAUAUAAUGUGAAGGCUUUGAAGUUUGGGGUUUUUUGUUUAAAUUAAGGUCUGAAAAAAUUAUAACUUGCUGCAUAUAUGGAAACUACACAUGAAGCACAGUUUUGCAUUUUAGACACGGAAUUCUAUCAUUUGUUUUAAGCUCAGUUUAGCCCCUGGAAAAGUUGGCUGAAAUUUGCUCAGGAAGAACACGGGUGGCUGCACCCAAGACGUGCGUGACUGAUGGCCUGGGCCCAGGCUCUACAAGCUGCAGGGGGCUAUGCCAGGUCUGUCUACCCCCCCAGCUGGGUGGAAAUGGGAGGGGGCACACACGCUACUGAGGGAAAGUGGGUGCUGGCAGCACAUGGAGGUUUUCCUUAAUGUAAACUUUGGGGGUUGCUUGUGUUCCUUACUACUUUGAAUUCUCUGUUACAUGAAAUCAUGUGCUAGUUAGGACAACAGUAUACUUGGUUAUUAGUUUAAAGUCAGCUUACAGAAACAAGCCUAAACUUAAAAGAUAUGCAACUCUAUUGCUGCUUUUAUCCUUAAGCAUUUGUAAAUGGAAUAUGUGAUGACUAAAGUACAUGAAAUAUAUUGAGCAGAAUCUAAA